rnacentral:rRNA from 1 species
AGUGAACGCUGGCGGCGUGCUUAACACAUGCAAGUCGAACGAGAACGGAAUAUAGCUUGCUAUAUUUGUCAGCUAAGUGGCGCACGGGUGAGUAAUGUAUAGAUAACCUGCCCUUAAGAAAGGAAUAACAGUUGGAAACGACUGCUAAUGCCCUAUAUGCCUUUAAUACAUAAGUAUGCAAGGGAAACGCUUUAGUGCUUAAGGAUGGGUCUGUAUGGUAUCAGCUUGUUGGUGAGGUAAUGGCCCACCAAGGCUAUGACGCCUAACUGGUUUGAGAGGAUGAUCAGUCACACUGGAACUGAGACACGGUCCAGACUCCUACGGGAGGCAGCAGUGGGGAAUAUUGCACAAUGGACGAAAGUCUGAUGCAGCAACGCCGCGUGGAGGAUGACACAUUUCGGUGCGUAAACUUCUUUUAUAUAGGAAGAUAAUGACGGUACUAUAUGAAUAAGCACCGGCUAACUCCGUGCCAGCCGCCGCGGUAAUAC